rnacentral:rRNA from 1 species
CCUACGGGUGGCAGCAGUGAGGAAUAUUGGUCAAUGGGCGCGAGUUUGAACCAGCCAUGUCGCGUGCAGGAUGACUGCCCUAUGGGUUGUAAACUUCUUUUAUAAAAGAAUAAACUGAGGCACGUGUGCCUUUUUGUAUGUACUUUACGAAUAAGGAUCGGCUAACUCCGUGCCAGCAGCCGCGGUAAUACGGAGGAUUCGAGCGUUAUCCGGAUUUAUUGGGUUUAAAGGGUGCGUAGGUGGUUUGUUAAGUCAGUUGUGAAAGUUUGCGGCUCAACCGUGAAAUUGCAAUUGAUACUGGUAGGCUUGAGAACAGUUGAGGUAGGCGGAAUGUGUGGUGUAGCGGUGAAAUGCUUAGAGAUCAUGCAGAACUCCGAUUGCGAAGGCAGCCUACUAAACUGCCUCUGACAUUGAUGCACGAAAGUGUGGGUAUCAAACAGGAUUAGAUACCCUGGUAGUC